CAUGUGGGCCAAUGAGGGAGAUCUUUGAUCUCCCCACCGGCCUGUCAUGGAAUGCAGCAGGGCCGGCGCUCGGAUAGUGCAGCCCUGCAUAGACCGGCAGGGGAGAUCCUGUGAUCUCCCCUGCCGGCCUCAGCUCAUGGCCACUGUGGCCCACCACGCAUUUGCCCAGUGUGUCUGAUGGCCAGUCCGGGCCUGUUUCUUUGCAUGUUCC